GUGGGGAAUUUUGGACAAUGGGCGCAAGCCUGAUCCAGCAAUGCCGCGUGCAGGAAGAAGGCCUUCGGGUUGUAAACUGCUUUUGUACGGAACGAAACGGUCCGGGUUAAUACCCUGGGCUAAUGACGGUACCGUAAGAAUAAGCACCGGCUAACUACGUGCCAGCAGCCGCGGUAAUACGUAGGGUGCAAGCGUUAAUCGGAAUUACUGGGCGUAAAGCGUGCGCAGGCGGGUUUGUAAGACAGGCGUGAAAUCCCCGGGCUCAACCUGGGAAUUGCGCUUGUGACUGCAAGGCUGGAGUGCGGCAGAGGGGGAUGGAAUUCCGCGUGUAGCAGUGAAAUGCGUAGAUAUGCGGAGGAACACCGAUGGCGAAGGCAAUCCCCUGGGCCUGCACUGACGCUCAUGCACGAAAGCGUGGGGAGCAAACAGGAUUAGAUACCCUUGUAGUCC
rnacentral:rRNA from 1 species